rnacentral:rRNA from 1 species
CAGUAGCCGCGGGAAUACGUAGGGUGCGAGCGUUAAUCGGAAUUACUGGGCGUAAAGCGUGCGCAGGCGGUUGUGUAAGACAGGUGUGAAAUCCCCGGGCUUAACCUGGGAACUGCGCUUGUGACUGCACGGCUAGAGUAUGGCAGAGGGGGGUGGAAUUCCACGUGUAGCAGUGAAAUGCGUAGAGAUGUGGAGGAACACCGAUGGCGAAGGCAGCCCCCUGGGCCAAUACUGACGCUCAUGCACGAAAGCGUGGGGAGCAAACAGGAUUAGAUACCCGUGUAGUCCCUGUCUCUUAUAC